rnacentral:misc_RNA from 1 species
AGGUACGUUCAUACUUCGCUGAAAACACCAUAUCCCGUCCGAUUUGUGAAGUUAAGCAGCCAUAGGCCACGUUAGUACUGAGGUUAGUGAUAACUCGGGAACCCGCGGUGACGUACUUCAACCUCCUUUUUUCCAAUAGCCCGCCGCCCACCCCGGCCCACCCCGGCACCCAAAAACCCCGCCAACACAGGCCACUCCCGCCCCCUUUUCGGCCUUCCGCGGCAUCAGGGCACCCAAGGGGGCCCAGCAGCGCGCGCCGUUGCGGCUGGGGGGCGGGGGGUGCGCUCGGGGGUCGCGGCGGGUGGGGUGCGUUUUCCGCCUCGGCUUCCUCCAUCUUCACGCGAGCGGCCCCGCCACAACGUCCCCUCCGCAAAUAGCGCGGCGACCCAUAUCACACACGCGGUGGUUGCCAGUUAUUUUCAACUAACGCUAUUAUUGUUACAGUUUCUGUACUUUAUUGGUAUGAGAAGCUUCCAGUCUAUCUGGUAAAUUUUGGAAAAAGCCUUCGGGCUUCUUUUUUUUAUUUUUUUUUCCCACACAAAACCCCCGGUCCCGCCCCCAGGGUGGGGGUGGGUACCCCCCUGGGCCUCCCCGCCACCAUACCCCCAUACAAAACCACAUGGCACACAACC